AGAAUCAACGCUGGCGGCGUGCCUAACACAUGCAAGUCGCACGAGAAAGUGGAGCAAUUCAUAAGUACAGUGGCGCACGGGUGAGUAACACGUGAAUUAUCUACCUCCGAGUGGGGAAUAACUGAGAGAAAUCUUAGCUAAUACCGCAUAACACUUACGAGUCAAAGCAGCAAUGCGCUUGGAGAGGAGUUCGCGGCCGAUUAGUUAGUUGGCGGGGUAAUGGCCCACCAAGACGAUGAUCGGUA
rnacentral:rRNA from 1 species